ACUUACCGAGGAGGUCCUAUCAGCCACAGGUGGGACAGGUCUCAGGCUCCCUCUAUGUCUCCCAUCUCCAGAAAGGAAAGAAGGUGGUCUGGAAAGGAAAGAUGAGGUCUGAGGCUCUGCUGUUUGCACCUCUGUGACCUCUCGGGUGGCAGGGAAGCAGAACCAUGAAAAACUCUACUGGAGGGAUGGGUGAUGGGGUGGCUGAUGGUCUGGAUCCCAUUCAGGCUCCAAUGAGCCGGGUGGACCCAGGUCCCGCCGCGGACACCAACUCUUCAUGGAACUUGACCCAGUGCUGGGUGCCACUGACCUUCCCGCUGUGAACACACUAAAGACCACUGAAGCCCCCAAGCUGGAGCUCCAGGACAUGCCAGAUGUGUUCCAGUCUUGGCUACAGCUCACAUCAUCAAAUCUGUGAAAGGGAACCUAUUUCCCUGCAAAGUGAGGCUCAAUUACCAUUGUUGGAAGGAUAUAAUCAACCAUGUUUCCUUGUUUUUCUGCCUCCCUUUGAUCUCUGUUUAUAUAUAUCUUCUAAAAGCUUGCAAGUAAAAUAUUCCAUACUGA